rnacentral:misc_RNA from 1 species
GUCAAACAUAGACAUAUUAUAGCAAAACAUGAAUUCAAUUCAAUAUGUUGGAACCUUUUAUAUAAAUGUUUCCUCUGUUAAUUUAGAGCCAUUUUUAAUAGUCACUAAUAUUUAAAUAACUCUUUUGUUUUUGCUUCAAACAGCGCUGACAAAACUCAACUAAUAAUNUGAAAAGUNNGAUAAAAAUAGAAACUUCAUUUCAAUAAUCUUAGAAGCAAAGCAAAAGUUCAUGUUUGGAUUCAGUGGACUUGAGUUAGAGCGGAAANAAGCUUUGAAAGGACAUCCGAAAAGACCUAAGCUCAAGUCANAAAACGNAGAAAAAUCAACCAAUUAUUUGUUUUCCUAGAGGUAAUGACUGCUGUGUUAGACACAAGCUCCACUAGUUCAACAAAACAAGACUUCUUUUUAAGUAAAACGUCGUAAAACAACAUUUUAAUUUUGAAAUCUUUUGUGCUCAAGACUACAAAAUUCCCUUAUUAGGAAAUCACGUGACAAACACUCGUGCCAGGUCUCUUGAGAGGAAAAUUGGAUUUCUCCUUUUUUUUCGUUUUCUGUUCUAAUGAACGAUGUUGAAACUUUUAAAUUCCAAGAUUUUUUNAAUGUUUUUCCGGAUUUUAAUAGCAACCUUAUAAGGUACGUUCCAUAAAUCUGUCCGAUUGUGAGAUUAAGUUGUNUGAUCGUUGGAGCGUGGGCGAGCGUUUUUUUAUUGAAUGCAAGCUAGCUAUAAAAGACAUGCAGCUUCGGCUCAUUGAACAUAAAUUGAGCCCAUUUGAAGCUCGCCGACGUCUGGGUGAAAAGGAGCUAGAAGUACAGCUAGUAAAGUACAGUUCUUCGCUGCGACAGACGGAUAAAUCUUCUCUUCAAAAAAGAUGAAUUUGCACGUUUGCAAGCUGGCUGUAAUCCUGGUCGCUCUACUCACUAAAUCAGAAAGUAAACUACUGUCAAGUAAUAUAUGUGAAGUGUACGAUCCUUACUGUAAACCACCUAAUUGCCCCACACACAAGAGGUGCCCAGUUAAACCCUACAGAUUGUCACACUGUUUUGCUGUCUUAUCCAGCACUCCCGUAGGAGAAAAGGUGAUUCGCAAGGGAUGCUGGUUACAGAAUCUACAACUGUGUCCCUUAAGCAAACAAUGCAAGACGAGAAAGACAUCCCGAGAUUCCGUGCGUUUCUGCUGCUGUACAGGCAAUAAUUGCAAUAGCAAAGUCAACUAGGAAAUACUUAUUGACCUGAGUAGUGUGAUAUAAUCGUUAUGGUAAUAGCUAUAUGGUAAGAACAAAUCCAGAAUUUAACCUUAUAAACUUAGUCCUUUUUCGAUGGUCUUUUCUCCUAAUGACGCCAUGUUUGUUUUGGCGAAGUGCAUCAUGGUAUUGAUGACGUCAUGUUUGUUUGCGCGAAGUGCAUCAUGGUAUUCAUGAUGACGUCAUGUUUGUUUUGGCGAAGUGCAUCAUGGUAUUGAUUCUGAGAAUGAAUUUACUUUACGAUAUUAAUCCUAGAAUGAUUUUAAAGUACAUUAUAAAAUGAAAUGGCUGCACACAAAAAAAACCUAUAUAAGAAAUAUAAAAUGCUCAUUGUUCGCAGCACAGUCGCACAACAACGUGGAUUCAGUUUUGUAUUGUCGUCUAUCCCAUGAUGCAUCUGGCCCAACAUCGCAUGACGUCAUUAGGGAGAAAAACCUGAAUUUCGUGUAUAUUCAAGUGUCGAAAUAGCGCUCGUUUCAUUAACAGUCAACUAUAAAAACUGCAGUAAAGAUACGAAUUGUUUACUGGAGUUUUGAAAGUUAGUCUUCCUUAGUUCCUUUCUAUGAUAAGAUGGAUUACAGUCGUCUUAAUUAAAGAUAUGAGUAAUGUGACU